UGUCUCGUAGUGUAUUUGGAAGCAUACUCGAUUCUUAUUCGAGACGUACAGGGUUCGAAUCCCGGCGAGGUGC
rnacentral:tRNA from 1 species